GGAUAGAUAACCCAACUCCCUCACAAAAACACGUCCUGUCCAAUGAGAACACAAGUAAUCUUUUUGAAACGGUCAACGAGUUGGUUAGGGUAGCUAAGUAUAUUGAAAGUCUGAGCAACUUUUGUUGGAUAAUUUGAUACAUGAGUAUUUGUUCCAGCUACCUGAGUUAGUUGACCGUAAACCCUCCAAGCGCUCAGUGGUUAAGAUUAUGUCCAGUAGGGGUUACAUCCCUCGGAGCGACGUGGACACUCUAGUACGGUCACAUGGACUACCUCGCUAGGGGGAGCCCUCGAAUGGAUGUUUAUGCGGACAGACGGGCGAUGAGUGACGUUGAUCAGGACGGACGGGCAAAGAGUGAUGAGGAUGGAGGGCACAGUCCGGACGAACAGGAAAGUGGCCUGGACGCAGAGGCGUUGCUAGAAUCACAAUACAACCCCCCCUACACCCCCGGCCACUAACAAGGAGAAUCUGAACAUCUCAAGUAGUCAUCUCUGGGGUCAUGCAGGUGAUUCUGCUUUGAAGCAGAAAGCACUGAAUUUGCCUCUUGGGUCUGUGGAACAAAGAAGUCCUUUAAGAGUAAAUGUCAGUGUCAAUCAAUGCCAUUCCUCCAAUUCCAAGCCCUUUUGUGCUAUGUCCAGCAACCAGACAUUCCAAAAUAACCAGUCUAUUAUGUCUAAAAGCAGCAGCAAAAUGACUAGUUUGACAGCUCAGACUGGUCCGCACCCAACAAUCUUGACUCCCCCUUGGCCAAAUACAGACAGCCCAUGCAUGUCUCUCAAUAUGGAGACCCUGCCAGUAUCUGAUUUUGUAACAUCACCUCUUCCUGACAGCAGUCACUCACUUACACCAUCACAGUUUAAUGGGGUGUUCGGAGCCAAGUCACUGGCCAUUAACCCAAAAACCACAUUCACACCAAGAACCAUGCUCUCCCCAUUUUUUAAAUACGUCCAUUUGCCAUUACACAGGCAGAGCUAUUGCUGCCCAGGCUCGAGUUCCAUGCAUGCCUCAAAGAACUGGAAUAUUGAAGAUGAAACUUUACCAAACUGCAGUGGAAUAAGUUGUUUUGAGGACACUGUAGACACUUCUUGCUUCUUACCUGUGGUGGUAGAGCCCUCCCUUGGCCGUCCUGCAAUGGAUAUGUCUCGCACACAACCAGUUACUUUUCUGUCUAUGAAAGAGAGUUUUCAUACAACAGAAAAGGAUGCCCAUAAUGAUUUGCAUAAGGGCUUGAAUUCUUGUAUCAGUUUGCUGGAAAGUCCACUGCCAAAAGCUCUUGGGGAGAAAUUGCUCAAUGCUUCAAGCUUCUCCAGAUCUUCGCUGGAGGAUACACGCAACAUUGUCUCUAUGAAAGACAGUGUCAGUAAUGCAGAAGAUGAUGAUUGCUGUGAAGAGUUGCAUAAGGGCUCUUUUUGUCUCAGUUUGCAGGAAGGUCCAGUGCCAAAAGCUCUCGGGGAGACUAUAUCGCUCAUUAGCUCAAGCUUUUCCAGAUUGUCCCAAAAGGGAGCACAUGACUUAUUUGAGGGCAGCACCCAAAGUCAGGAUUCAUUAGAACAUCAGGUACAAAACCUGACCAGAGAGGUUGCAAUGCCGGCUCUGGUCCAAAGUUCUUGUGUUGCCUCUUCUGGUGUCACAGACACAAACCUCACCCACAUAGUUGUGCCUGAUGGUGAGGUGUUUGCUUCCUGCACAGUGCCGCUGUCCUGUUCGGUAUCUGGUUCCUUGUUUGAUUCAGGGUGUGAUGACAAGAGGAUGAACUCUAACAAUGGCACUUUUGAAUGUCUGGCUGAACCAACACUGGAGUUCAAGACUGGAACCCACUUCCUUACCAAGCCCAAUGCCAUAACUGCUGAAAUGAGAUCUGUGGAAAUCAGACCCCUGAAUGGCACAUUUGAAGCUUGCCCCCCUAUGAUGUGCAGUGAAAAUUCUCAUGUGACCUGUGUUGGCAAUGAGCACCCUUUCAGCAAUCCUGAGACUAAGAUUCAAACUGACACUGAACCAACGAGUGCUGAUAUUGAUUUUGCUGAACCCCUGGCACAGCUUCAACCAGGCUCAUCCAGGGAACAUAGGCUUUCCGGAGGUCUUUGUAGUCAAAGUGUUGAUUUGGAGAACCAAAAAAUGGACACCUUCACCUUGGAUGACACUCUGGAGUUAGAUCCAAACAUACUGGUAACGUCCACUCCCAUGGCUGUUGGGAAACCAGAGAGGACCUCAGACGUCCGUAAAAGGCAAUCUUCGGGCUUCCAGCCAAAACAAGCCCAACUGCCAGCUGCCUCAAACAUUGUCACUAAUAGAAAGUUGUUACUUCAGCCACUGAGUGCCAUGUCCCAUCCCAAAUCACGUCUACCCCCACCAAGAACUGUGUCACAGCUUCCAGCGCUGGCUGGACAGUCGAAGACCAAGCCGGCCCAUAUGCCUCUGGCCCCUGUGGCCUUAGCCCACUCGGAGCCAUUCCCUGCUAUGCCUGGUAAUGGAAGCAAAACAGGUGAAGGUCCUUUGGGGAAUGUUGCAGCCACUGUUACUCAGCAGGCUUUGGCAGAUAAGAUUUCCAGUAUUCGGCAGAACACAGUUCCAGAGUCCAAGCUGAUGAGCACUGGUCUGAUAAAACCACAAGCAUCUGGCUUGCAGCCUGGCACUCAGAGAUGCAUGCCUAAUCUCCGGCUUCCCGCAGUAAUAGUGGCCACCCGCUCCACUACCAAACCCAGCCUGUCUGCAGGUAUAAGUCGGAAGAGUUUACAAGCACCCAGCCAAAGCCACAAGCACUUGGCAACCAGCAGUUGUGCUUUACCAGUAGCAAAGAGGAAAAAACUUAGAGAGGAUUGUCCAAGUCUGGCUAAUCACAGUAAUGCCAGGAAAAGCUCUGCUAGGUGUGGGAUGAAGCCUGUAACCAACCUGAAGGCCGCACCAGCAAAAAAACAGACCUCUGGCUGUGCAAACUGUGUGCUACUUCAACAAGAGCUGGAAAAGUGUCGGCAAGAGCUCAAGUGUCACCAAGAAAAAGAUGCCAGAAGCAGAACUACAAAAUGAGAUGUGUUGGAAGACACCAUUACAAUGGAUAGCCCAGCUGAAUUAUUGCCAGCAAAGAUGAAUCUAACAGAUUUUUAACCUUGCAUUAAUAAAAUGUGUGCUAUAAGAAAAGGUAAUGAAGGUAAUAGGUAAUAGGUAAUAAUAUUGUGGGGAAUUCUUAAAGUAACUCUACUUAAGGUUUAUUUGCAUCAAUGGCAGCUGCUAUCAUCUUGUUUUUGGAUCAUCUUGCUGCUAUCAUCUGGUCAUUGGAUGUUAUUUUUUGAGUAAUUGGUUUUUUAUUGUAAAGUUAACAUUAGUUGUGCAACUAGCUAGCAAAUUUGCAAGUCAUGUCUUCUAAUCUUUGUCUAGUUUAUGUAAUAAGACCGUAGUUAAUAGUUUUUCUGUUGAUGUACUUAUUCUUUACAAUUAAAACAGAUGUCAGUUAAAAUAAAAGUAAUCAUGCAUGUUUUAUUUUUCUUGUAAAGUGUCCAAUAUCAAAGAGGGAUAGAAUUGUUAGGGCUUGUUACAGGGCAUUGCAGGAAAGUGAGGUGGCACACGAGCUUGAGGUCUAUUAGCUCAAGGAAGAUUUAAUCAGUUUUCAGAAAUGUGUCAGGUGCUACAAUACCAUUUUGAUUUUAAUCUACUUAAGUAUUGAGACCUUAAAGUAAAAAUUGCCCAAGGCAUAUGAAAAUAGGAUUAGAAGUGGCAACAUUUCAGAAUGUCACCUUUUCUUUCAAUUCAAUUUCAGCGCUUAUUUUAACUCAGAAUAACAGAGUUAUAAUCAGAGUUUCCCCCCCCCCCCCCCCCCCCCCCCAAUUUUAUUUAGACAUUUGGCUUACAGGUGUUUUUAAUUGCUCAGAUGUUUCCUGUUGAAAUGAUUGGUCACAUGUGAAAGAGCUGUGAAUUUGUAGUUUCAGUUCCAUCUCUUGCUUUUGCCAAUGGAGUCUAUUUUUUGGUUUCAGUAAGCACUGAAACACCCUACUCUAAUGCAUGCACUGUUUGCACAAGCUAGGAUUGACACAAGAAAUAGUGAAACCGAGUUUAUGAGACAGCGGAGAAGUAUUAAAUCAGAAUGACUGAUGAGUUGUCACUCAACGUCAUUGUUGCCUUGGUUACGGAAACUCAGGCGCUCAGUAACUUUGAGUUGCAGUUCUCCCAGAUACACAAGUUGACAGUUCUGUAAGCAGAAGACCCCCCCCCCCUCUGUAUCUGCAAACUGUGUUUGUAUGUGUGAGAAAAAUGUAACCAAUAUCCCACUUGGCGAAAAGUCAAGUCACCUUUUUAUUUAUAUAGCACUUUUAAAAACCACCGGGCAUCAGUGAGCUCCUGGACAGUCUGUGGUGCUACUUGGCAGCGUUGAAUGCACCGAUGCAUAACUGUAGAGGGAGAUGGAUUAACAUCUCCCCAUAGUCUCAAGAGCAUGGAGGAGAUACCAGGAGACAGGCCAUUACAUCGCAGUCCAGAAUACACAGCACUGUAAGCCCAUUGGCUAAUUACUGCCGUGUUUUGACUGAACGUGAAGGCAUUGAUGCCAUUGACUGGCCCUCACGUUCCCCAGACCUUAAUCCAAUUGAGAACCUCUGGGACGUUAUGCAUCGGUGCAUUCGAUGCUGCCUGCCAAGUAGCACCACAGACUGUCCAGGAGCUCACUGAUAUCUUGAUCCUUGGUGUGAGUUUGAAUCCAGACCUCAAUUGGUUGAUUUGUAGCGCUUUUGCAAAGAAGAGUGGGCAAAUAUUGCCACGUCAAUAUGUGCCAUGUUAAUAGACCCCAAAAAGACUGAGUGCUGUAAUAAAAUCAAAAGGUGCAAAGUAUUAGUUUUAGGGUGUGCACACUUAUGCAACCAGGUUAUCGUAAGGUUUUUAUUUUUCAUUUUCCCUCCUCAAAGAUGUUUGUUUUUCAAUUUAAUUGUUCACAUUAUAGGUCACAUUAAAAGUGGAAAAUG
ensembl:lncRNA